GACGAACGCUGGCGGUGUGCUUAACACAUGCAAGUCGAACGGUAAGGCCCUUUCGGGGGUACACGAGUGGCGCACGGGUGCGUAACACGUGAGUAACCUGCCCUCACCUCUGGGAUAACAGUCGGAAACGGUUGCUAAUACUGGAUAUGAGCUUGCAAGGCAUCUUGUGGGUUGGAAAGAUUUUUUUGGUUGGGGGUGGACUCGCGGCCUAUCAGCUUGUUGGUGAGGUAGUGGCUCACCAAGGCUUCGACGGGUAGCCGGCCUGAGACGGCGACCGGCCACAUUGGGACUGAGAGACGGCCCAAACGCCUACGGGAGGGAGCAGUGGGGAAUAUUGCACAAUGGACGGAAGGCUGAUGCAGAUACGCCGCGUGCGGGAUGACGGCCUUUGGGUUGUAAACCGCUUUCAAUUGUGACGAAGCUUUUUGUGACGGUAGCUGUAGAAGAAGCACCGGCUAACUACGUG
rnacentral:rRNA from 1 species